rnacentral:lncRNA from 1 species
CCGGAUCCGGCAAUGGCAGAUCCAUCGUGCCUUCUUGUCCGGCUCUCUGAUUGCCAUCCACUUCUUCUGAGACGCAACACAAAUCUCAGCAUUUCAAUAACAAGUAAGUAAUCGUGAACCGAAGCCAAUUUCUAAUACAGCAUUCAUUACCUUCCUUCUCCAUCAUCGUCUUUAGCAGUCGUUAGGAACAGAUCGGGGCGGGGUUAAAGGUUUGGAUGUGGGAAGAGAUCAAGGGAAGCUUAAGAAGGGAGGAGGCGGGGGAUGGGUGGCGGUCCGCGAAGGGAGGGAGGGAAGGGGAGGGAGAUGAGGCCGUUGACUGUUGGGAACAGAUCCUGUUUACGUGCUCUCCAAAAUUGAGAUCGUUAUGACGGAGAGACGCGUUUCGCAGGCUGGCCGAGCCAUGCAUCAUUGGCAUGGUUGACUUGGCAGACAAGUCAACCUGAUCAUCGCAUCCUCAUGAAUAAAUGAGGUAUGAUGAAAUGCGGGUGGAGGUCAUGAUUUGGCAUGUCAAUCUUGCAUGUUGCAAGAUUGGCAUUGUAGAUUUAGCAAUUAUAUACGUUAUAAUAUGCCAUAACGUAUACACUAUACUUAAACGAAGCAUUUAGCUUAAUUUUGUCCUUAUUAUCAUGGAUCGUGCUAUCAACAGUUAAAAAGUCUUUACCAGUGGCAUCCCCAACAAUUAGUGCCGUUACAUUGGUACAUACAUAGCUCGGAGAUAAAUUUCGGUCUUUGUAAUAGAUAUUACACCAAAUGAUAGGUCUUUAGUGAUUGAAUGGAGUGGGAUGAAGUAGUCGUACGGAGUUGGUGGACAUGAUCCAGACGUCUGAUAUCAUCCAAAGUUGGUGUUGAUCUCCUCAUUUACACAUACAUGUCGAACAGAUCUAUAAUUACAGAGAUUUCUGACACUCAUUGCAGCAGAAUUUUAUUUGAUUUUGUUUUCAAUUACAGAUGAAUGUGAGAAGAAGAUUCUUGUGGUCUCACGGUCGUACAGUUUCCGAUAAGCCAUCUCCAUUAGAAAUGAGUUAAUUCACUAGGCUCAAUCUAUGAGGAUACUGUAAGCAUCCGAAGUGUGGUAAUGGACAAAAUGGGAAGAAGAAGAAGAAGAAGACAAAAGAUUGGUCAGAGACUUGGCAAGUUCUACUUAUCAUGAUCCAUGCAGGUGACCUCAUGUGUGUUCCUUCAAAGAUCCAUCUUUGAACAUCUUGUGACUGAGGCUGUUGAACAUUGCUCGCGAGUACUGUCGUGAGCCAUUCCUCCAAUCUGUUCCAGCCUUCAUCAUCAUCUCAAAUUCUUCAUAGCUUAUACGGCCAUCCUGUGGAACAACCCAUGCACAGAGUCCAGUAAGAUCCAAAGUCUUUUUUCUUAUGGCAAGCUUUUCCGAAACAAAUUAUAUAUCUUUAAUUCGAACUAAAUGCCAAAAGGCGUAUAGGAAGCGUAAAAGAAGGAUCCCAAGAUGAGGAAGUUGAUACUACCUUGUCCUUGUCGACGUCUGAGAUGAUAUCCAAGAUCACUUGCUCACUCAGUUCAAGUCCUCCUAUGGCUUCUCUCAGCUCAUCAAUCUCGAUGUAUCCACUCUGGUUCUUGUCGAAAUAGUUGAAGGCUUUUGGAAGGUGCUCCUCACUAUCAAUCCUUUUCAGGUGAACAGUGACGGUAACGAACUCCUCGCAAUUCACUGUACCAUUUCCAUCAAUAUCUGCCUGUGAUCAGAGGCAAAAAAAACAUGAUUUUGUGGGAAGAAGACGAUCACAAAGAGUUCAACUGAAAGACUUGCAUGCAACAAUUUGUGCACUACAUAGUUAUCGUGAUCCAAAUAGUUCCACAUUGGGUACAAGCUAAUGUUUAUCAGCAUAUGAUUUAUAACCUACUCAUGAAUACACUUUUUUGCAUAUUUCUGAAGUAGAAGGUAUUUGAUCAUUUCUUUGGUGCUUCUUACAGUCCUUUGAAAGCAAUUUCCUCAUCAAAGAUGCUUCUGUGAUUCCUAGAACCAGUGUUGAAGUUCAUAAGUACAGGUAGAAACGGUAAUGGCUUUACAUGAUGGUGGA